rnacentral:lncRNA from 1 species
AUGAAGAUGUGCCAUUCUUCAAAUCCAAAGGAUUCAAUGAAACUUACUUUUACCUGUCUCUAUCCUGGGGAGUCCUGGGGAGUGGUGGUGGGAAUGGGGCUCAGUGUGAGGAGGGGUCUCAGAGCCACAGGCCAUGCUCAAAGCUGGAAAUGGGCAGGCCCAGAGCUCCCAGCUCCGCAAGCUGCCCGUACCCCAGGGUCCGGUUCACUGGGCCCAGGCCGCCUCAUAGCCCUGCCAGGCCCCGGCAGGAUGCUGAGGGAGCUGUGGCACUGCCCGCCGGCUCCAGCUGGCACAGCAGCCUCUGCAGUGGGCAGGAGGCCAGGCGGGGGCGGCAGGAGGCUGAGGCCAGGCUGGCUGCCGAGGAAGCAGCAUCGCAGACGGUGGGCUGGCGGCUUUGGGCUAUGGGGUGGGGGAGUCCCUGAGGGCUGGGGGCUGCUCCGGAGCCAAGGCACACAAGGUCACCUAGGCCUUUCUCCCAGGCCAGUAGUCAGUCUGGACAGCCUGAACCUCGUUCACCUGCCCAGGCCCCCUCAGAGCCCUGUUCUGGAUGACAUGAGUCAAUGGGCCUUGGCCUCUGGGGAUGGGCUGUCACCCUCCCGUGCUCAUCACCCGGAAGAAGGUGAAGGGGCAGGAACCCAGAGGUGUCAGCAGGCACUGAGCCACGGUGAAGACCUAGGCUGGGCCAGGCUGGGGUCUGUCAUUGUUGCUAACGAGUCCCUCCCUGUCACAGGUGCCUCUGCUCUUCUGGGCCUCCUGCCCUCUCACAGAUCAAUCUCUCCCCUCACUGAGCACUCUCUCUCCCCAACCCGCUUCCUCUCUGCCCCCCACCCCACUGAGUGCUCCUCAUGGAUCCUUUCUCUCUUCAUUCAGCCCUUCCACCUCUCUGAGCUCCCCACCCUUUCCCUGAGCCCAGGUAUUGGAAUUGAGAAGGAACUUCUCCAUUUCUCGUCUGGCUGCUCCUCCUUGGCAAGCCUGGACCAGUCGCCAUACCAACCCACUCCCUCUGCAGGGCCCUGUGUCCUCUCUUCAGAGCGUAAGCUACAAAAUCCCUCCGUCUCCCCAGGACUCCAUGAAUAA